CCUAUAAAACAGAAAAAUGGAUCUCCGUUUGUGCUUACAUCGCCAGAAAAAGAUGAGGAGCUCAACAAAGGACCUGAACAGCAAUAUUCCCAAUCAUGACAACCGACCUAGCUUCUUCAAGCUAAUCACACAUGAUACCAAUGCCAACCAUAGCUGGAGAAUCCCACCAGCUUUUGUUUCAACUCAUUUACCAAAAGAAUAAGUACCCAUUGAAGCCAUUUUCAAAGGUCCUUCAGGUGAUUGUUGGAACAUCACACUGUGUCGAAAUAAAGGAAACAUGGUAAUCCAAUAUGGUUGGGACCAAUUUCACAAAGACCAUUCACUGGGAGACAAUGAUUUAUUGGUUUUUCGACACAAUGGGAACAUGUGUUUCGAUGUCCAGAUUUUCGACAAAACCGGUGUCGAAAGGGAGACUGGCCCGAUGACCGGUAAACACCGAGGCUUUAGUGUAGAAAUCAAGGAAGAAGAUGAUGCCAACCGAAAGAACACACCAUGCCCUCCAGUAUGUAAAAAAAAGCAAAGGAAAGCAUUGUAAAGCAGCUAUUGAUUUCAGUUCUAAGUUCCCUUAUUUCAAGCGUUGUUUAACAAGGUGCAAUGUGGAGCAUCCAUCCUACUGAGCGUGCCAUCUUCAUUUGCCAAGGCACAAUAUCUUCCAGAAACCAAGAAGGAGUUUACUUUCUCGGCCACCAAACAGGGAUAUUGGAAGGUGGGUUUUGUGUGCAGUGAAAUGGACAAGGUUUUCUCCCAUGGUUGGUGCAAGUUUGUAAGGGACAACGAGAUGAAGGUGGGUAACACUUGUGUUUUUGAGCUGUGGCUCCUCAAAAAAUCGAAGCCCAUAUUUUCCACAAGUAUGAUCUGUAAUGUGUAAGGUGAUAUCCUAUUGGGAUUUCGUGGGAUAGUUUUUAAAUUAGUAGUUAAAACCCCUAUAUAUAUAUAUAUAUAUAUAUAUAUAUAUAUAUGCUUGUUGAGAAGAGAUGGAUCCGAGAGCGUAGCUAGAGUGGUACCAUAUACUUUAAUAAUUCCACUAAAAGGUGUACACAGUUCUUCACAUAAGAGGGACAAAAUUCUCUCUCGAGAGAUAAUAUCUUUCAUUAUUGAGGGAUAGAGUCGAUAUCUUCGUUGACUACACUUCAAAAA